AUUGAACGCUGGCGGCAGGCUUAACACAUGCAAGUCGAGCGAGCGGCGGACGGGUGAGUAAUGUCUGGGAAACUGCCUGAUGGAGGGGGAUAACUACUGGAAACGGUAGCUAAUACCGCAUACCAUCAGAUGUUCCCAGAUGGGAUUGGCUAGUAGGUGGGGUAAUGGCUAACCUAGGCGACGAUCCCUAGCUGGUCUGAGAGGAUGACCAGCCACACGGGAACUGGGACACGGCCCAGACUCCUACGGGAGGAAGCAGUGGGGAAUAUUGCACAAUGGGCGAAAGCCUGAUGCAGCAAUGCCGCGUGUGUGAAGAAGGCCUUCGGGUUGUAAAGUACUUGCAGCGGGGAGGCGUUACCCGAAGAAGAAGCACCGGCUAACUCCGUGCCAGCAGCCGCGGUAAUUC
rnacentral:rRNA from 1 species